rnacentral:sRNA from 1 species
ACGGAGCUCUCAGGGCUGGCAAAGCCCAAGGUGCGGCCCACAGCAGGGCAAUGCCCAUCCUGUUGGAACCCUGAGGACCAGCCUCAGCUCGGGACGGCUCGCUUGCCGACCUCCGAGGUGCAGUGGUCAUCGCCUUUGUGGUCUGCUGGCUGCCCUACCAUGUGCGGCGCCUCAUGUUCUGCUACAUUUCGGAUGAGCAGUGGACUCCGUUCCUCUAUGACUUCUAUCACUACUUCUAUAUGGUGACCAACGUGCUCUUCUACGUCAGCUCCGCCAUCAACCCCAUCCUGUACAACCUCGUCUCCGCCAACUUCCGCCACAUCUUCCUGGCCACACUGGCCUGCCUCUGCCCUGUGUGGCGGCGCAGGAGGAAGAGGCCAGCCUUCUCGAGGAAGGCCAACAGCGUGUCCAGCAACCACACCCUCUCCAGCAAUGCCACCCGCGAGACGCUGUACUAGGCUCUGCGCCCCGGAGCGUGUCCAGGAGGAGCCUGGCCGUGGGUCCUUGCCCCCCACAGACAGAGCAGCCCCCACCCGGGAGCUCUGAUGGUCGGGCAGAGGCCAGCCUGCGCUGGAGUCUGAGGCCUGGGACCCCCCUCCCACCCCCCAACCCCUGUUUCUCAUCAGUGUCUCCCGGGCCUGUCCCCAACUCCUCCCCACCCCUCCCCAUCUCCUCUUUGAAAGCCAGAACAAGAGAGCGCUCCUCUCCCAGAUGGGAAAAGGGCCUCUAACAAGGAGAAAUUAGUGUGCAGCAAAAGGCAGUUUUCUUUGUUCUCUGACUAAUGGAUGGUUCCAGAGAAGGAAAUGAAAGGUGCUGGGUGGGGCCGGGCCUCGGGCGGCCGGGCUGCUGUUCCCAUGUCCACAUCUCUGAGGCCUGCACCCACUCUGUCUAGCUCGGGGAGUCCAGCCCCAGUCCCGCAGGCUCUGUGGCUUUGGGCCUCACGUGCAGACCCUGCCAUGCAGACCCACGCCCCCCUCCCUCAGGCAGUUCCAAGAAAGCUCCCUGACUCGCCCCUUCAGGCCUGGCAAGCUGGGGGCCCACUGCCAUGAGGGGUCCCUCCCACCACCCUCGCCGCAGGCAGCUGCGGCCCCCAGAGGGGACCACAAGCCCAAAAAGGACAAAAAUGGGCUGGCCUGGAAUCGCCCAGACCCCAGCCUCCCCUCCUCCCUCCCAUCCUCACCCAGGACAAGGCCCAGGGGCUCUGCCAGGACGCCACAUGGGAGGAGGCUCAGGCCUCAGCCUCAGGAUCUUCAGCCGUGGCGUCUCGGGCUCGGCAGAAGGGACGCCGGAUCAGGGGCCUGGUCUCCCGCACCUGCCCAGGUGGCCGUGGCCAGGAUGGGGUGCACAUUCCGUGUGCUUUGCUUGUGGCUGUGCAGGCUGAGGUCUGGCAGCCAGGCCCAGAGCUGGCUUCAGGGUGGGGCCUUGAGAAGGGGAAUGUGGAACAGGGGCGAUGGAGCCUGGUCCCUGAGUAAGAUGCCAGUUCCAGGAACUCAGGCUUCAGGUGAGAAGGAGCGGUGUGUCCAGGCACCGCUGGCCAGCAGCCCUGGGCUGAGGCACAGACUCAUUUGUCACCCUCUGGUGGCGGCAGCCCUGGCCCCAGCCUCCAAGCAGUUGAAAAAGCUGGCGUCUCCUUGGUCUCUAGGAUCCAGGCGCCACAGAGCACACGACUGGCCAGGCCCCUGGCUUAAGAAGGUCGCCUGAGCCUGAGAGAAGACAGUCCCAGGAGAAGCUGGCCGGGACCAGCCAGGAACUGGGAGCCACAGGAAGCAAAAUUCAGCCUUUUCUUCAAGGGAUUUCCCUGUCUCAGAGCAGCCUUUGCACUGGGGAAAUGGGCUCUGGGCUGGCUGCCUGCACCGGCCACGUCGACCCGGGACCCGGACACCUGGUCUUGGGCUGUGUUCAGCCACUUUGCCUUCUCCGGACUCGGUUUCCCCAUCUGUGAAAUGAGAGUCGAAUGCUACAGUAUCUGCAGUCACUUGGAUCUGGCUGUUGAGUUGACGGGUUCCUUGAACCCCACAAAAUCCCUCUCCAACCACAGGGCCCUUCGGCUCACCAAGAACGGGGCCCAGGGGAGUCAGGCCCAUUUGCUGCACUUCCUGCCAAACUUUGCCUCCCACAAGCCUGGUCAUCAGCCAGGCAGCCCUCCCAGCGCCCAAGGGCCACCAACCCCAGGGAAACAGGGCCAGCACAGAGGGGCCUUCCUCCCCCACAGAGCUCCCAUGAGAAGCUUUGCUGCCCACAGAGCUCCCCACAGAGAAGCUUUGCUGCCAGCCAGGGAUGUCCAGAGGUCAGUGCAGCCCCUACCCCUGCUCAGGAGUGGGCUCAGAGUUUAGCAAAUGCUGAGGCCCCUCAGGCUGGGCUCUGAAUGAGGACCUGAACUGAACUCAGAGCCAGACAGGGCAGCCUCAGAUCCUUCUCUGCGGCUCCUGGACCUUGGGCCAUAAUUUCUGAGCCUCGGUUUCCCCAUCUAAGAAACAGAUGUGGUCGUUCCACCCUUGCAGCUGGAUGGGACUGUCCUGGAGGACCCACCCCGGAACAGACAGAAUGAUGUCUCUCAGGAUGGUGCUCUGAGAGAGGGGAGUGGAUGCCCCACUGCCCCAGACCCUCGGUAGACACGAGGUCUCCGGGGUGGGGUCUGUGGCUGUGACUGAAGUCGGCUUUUCCUGUUGAUGUCUUGAUGCUCCUAUCUGUGCACUUACUGUAGGUAGGGACACGUGUCCACGCACCACAGACACACCCACGACACCUGAUCUCGUAUCACUAGCUCGCAGGCAGGUCAUGAUGUGACCCCGGAAGCCAGCCCUGCGUGCCAUGAGUGCAUCGGUCAUGGAGUCCGGAGCCCCUGAGUCGGCCCCCGGUGACGGCGCAGCCCUCACAGCUCAAACGCCCGCCUCCACUCCCAUCAUCUGCAGUUGGUGAAAACAAACCCCGUGUAUCUCUCAAUAAAGGUGGCCGAAGGGCCCUCGAUGUGGA